rnacentral:rRNA from 1 species
UGCAAGUCGAGCGGAAAGGCCCUUCGGGGUACUCGAGCGGCGAACGGGUGAGUAACACGUGAGCAACCUGCCCUAGGCUUUGGGAUAACCCCGGGAAACCGGGGCUAAUACCGAAUAGGACCUGGCCUCGCAUGAGGCUGGGUGGAAAGUUUUUCGGCCUGGGAUGGGCUCGCGGCCUAUCAGCUUGUUGGUGGGGUGAUGGCCUACCAAGGCGACGACGGGUAGCCGGCCUGAGAGGGCGACCGGCCACACUGGGACUGAGACACGGCCCAGACUCCUACGGGAGGCAGCAGUGGGGAAUAUUGCACAAUGGGCGGAAGCCUGAUGCAGCGACGCCGCGUGAGGGAUGACGGCCUUCGGGUUGUAAACCUCUUUCAGCAGGGACGAAGCGUAAGUGACGGUACCUGCAGAAGAAGCGCCGGCCAACUACGUGCCAGCAGCCGCGGUAAGACGUAGGGCGCGAGCGUUGUCCGGAUUUAUUGGGCGUAAAGAGCUCGUAGGCGGCUUGUCGCGUCGACUGUGAAAACCCGCAGCUCAACUGCGGGCCUGCAGUCGAUACGGGCAGGCUAGAGUUCGGUAGGGGAGACUGGAAUUCCUGGUGUAGCGGUGAAAUGCGCAGAUAUCAGGAGGAACACCGGUGGCGAAGGCGGGUCUCUGGGCCGAUACUGACGCUGAGGAGCGAAAGCG